rnacentral:rRNA from 1 species
GGCGCACGGGUGAGUAACGCGUAUGUAACCUGCCCGCAACAGGGGGAUAACCCGGCGAAAGUCGGACUAAUACCGCAUAAAACAGGGGUCCCGCAUGGGAAUAUUUGUUAAAGAUUUAUCGGUUGCGGAUGGGCAUGCGUACCAUUAGGUAGUUGGUGAGGUAACGGCUCACCAAGCCUUCGAUGGUUAGGGGUUCUGAGAGGAAGGUCCCCCACACUGGUACUGAGACACGGACCAGACUCCUACGGGAGGCAGCAGUGAGGAAUAUUGGUCAAUGGGCGAGAGCCUGAACCAGCCAAGUCGCGUGAAGGAUGACUGCCCUAUGGGUUGUAAACUUCUUUUACAAGGGAAUAAAAUGAGAUACGUGUAUUUUAUUGCAUGUACCUUGGGAAUAAGCAUCGGCUAACUCCGUGCCAGCAGCCGCGGUAAUACGGAGGAUGCGAGCGUUAUCCGGAUUUAUUGGGUUUAAAGGGUGCGUAGGUGGGCUGUUAAGUCAGCGGUGAAAGUUUGUCGCUUAACGAUAAAAUUGCCGUUGAAACUGGUAGUCUUGAGUAUAAAUGA